UACCGUGUGAUGAUUACAUAGUGAAUUAUUCUUUCACCUUUUACUAAAGAAUAUCGUGCGAGCGUCACAAUAAACGGCAUAUGCUAGUUUUUGUAAGAGUCCUCUUCGUUGAGGGCU